rnacentral:rRNA from 1 species
UACGAAGGGGGCUAGCGUUGCUCGGAAUCACUGGGCGUAAAGGGUGCGUAGGCGGGUCUUUAAGUCAGAGGUGAAAUCCUGGAGCUCAACUCCAGAACUGCCUUUGAUACUGGGUAUCUGGAGUCCGGAAGAGGUGAGUGGAAUUCCGAGUGUAGAGGUGAAAUUCGUAGAUAUUCGGAGGAACACCAGUGGCGAAGGCGGCUCACUGGCCCGAUACUGACGCUGAGGCACGAAAGCGUGGGGAGCAAACAGG